rnacentral:rRNA from 1 species
UGGGGAAUCUUCCGCAAUGGACGAAAGUCUGACGGAGCAACGCCGCGUGUAUGAUGAAGGUCUUCGGAUUGUAAAGUACUGUCAUUGGGGAAGAACGGUUUUCUUGAAAAGAUUGAGAAGACAUGACGGUACCCAAGGAGGAAGCCCCGGCUAACUACGUGCCAGCAGCCGCGGUAAUACGUAGGGGGCAAGCGUUGUCCGGAAUUAUUGGGCGUAAAGGGCGCGUAGGCGGGCCUUUAAGUCCGGUGUGAAAGAUCAGGGCUCAACCCUGAGAGUGCAUCGGAAACUGGAGGCCUUGAGGACAGGAGAGGAAAGUGAAAUUCCACGUGUAGCGGUGAAAUGCGUAGAUAUGUGGAGGAACACCAGUGGCGAAGGCGACUUUCUGGACUGUAACUGACGCUGAGGCGCGAAAGCGUGGGGAGCAAACAGGAUUAGGAUACCCUGGUAGUCCACGCCGUAAACGAUGAGUGCUAGGUGUAGAGGGUAUCGACCCCUUCUGUGCCGCAGUUAACACAAUAAGCACUCCGCCUGGGGAGUACGGCCGCAAGGUUGAAACUCAAAUGAAUUGACGGGGUCAUAGCUGUUUUCC